AAGCGCGUGUUUCAGCACCACGUCGCGGAAGGCCACGCCCUUGAGCCGCGCGGUGCGGAUAUACUGGGCCGUCAUCACCUCGGUCAUCGAGGCGCGGGUCAUCCGCGCGAUGUAGCCGGUGCCGUAAAGCGCGAUGGUUGCAACCGGCAGGGCGAAGUUCCAGAAGGUG
rnacentral:ncRNA from 1 species